AUUGAACGCUGGCGGCAUGCCUUACACAUGCAAGUCGAACGGCAGCACGGGAGCAAUCCUGGUGGCGAGUGGCGAACGGGUGAGUAAUAUAUCGGAACGUGCCCAGUCGUGGGGGAUAACGUAGCGAAAGCUACGCUAAUACCGCAUACGAUCUACGGAUGAAAGCGGGGGAUCGCAAGACCUCGCGCGAUUGGAGCGGCCGAUAUCAGAUUAGCUAGUUGGUGGGGUAAAAGCUCACCAAGGCGACGAUCUGUAGCUGGUCUGAGAGGACGACCAGCCACACUGGAACUGAGACACGGUCCAGACUCCUACGGGAGGCAGCAGUGGGGAAUUUUGGACAAUGGGCGAAAGCCUGAUCCAGCAAUGCCGCGUGCAGGACGAAGGCCUUCGGGUUGUAAACUGCUUUUGUACGGAACGAAAAGGUUUUUCUAAUAAAGAGAGCCCAUGACGGUACCGUAAGAAUAAGCACCGGCUAACUACGUG
rnacentral:rRNA from 1 species